rnacentral:rRNA from 1 species
UCAGUAACACGUAGUCAACAUGCCCAAAGGACGUGGAUUACCUCGGGAAACUGAGGAUAAACCGGAUAGGUCAAGGUUUCUGGAAUGAGCCAUGGCGAAAUCUAUAUGGCUUUGGAUUGGACUGCGGGCGAUCAGGCUGUUGGUGAGGUAAUGGCCCACCAAACCUGUAACCGGUACGGGCUUUGAGAGAAGGAGCCCGGAGAUGGGCACUGAGACAAGGGCCCAGGCCCUAUGGGGCGCAGCAGGCGCGAAACCUCUGCAAUAGGCGAAAGCUUGACAGGGUUACUCUGAGUGAUGCCCGCUAAGGGUAUCCUUUUGGCACCUCUAAAAAUGGUGCAGAAUAAGGGGUGGGCAAGUCUGGUGCCAGC